rnacentral:rRNA from 1 species
GACGAACGCUGGCGGCGCACCUAAGACAUGCAAGUCGGACGGUCCUUUCGGGGACAGUGGCGGACGGGUGAGUAACACGUGGGGGACCUACCCUUGAGUGGGGGAUAACGGCGGGAAACCGGCGCUAAGACCGCAUACGACCCUUAGCGUAGAGGUUAAGGGGGAAAUGCCGGAAGGCAGCUCGAGGAGGGGCUUGCGGCGGAUUAGCUAGUUGGGGGGGUAACGGCCCACCAAGGCGACGAUCCGUAGCUGGUCUGAGAGGACGGCCAGCCACACC